GACGCCGACAGCAGGUAGCCCGUCCAAGUUCAUGUCGUGCUGUCUCGCCUUGCGUCAUUUGGGAGGGAACUGGGCUGCGCGUGUCAGUUUUAGCCAGACAAGAGACAGGGAUCUGAGAGUAAGGACCCGUCAAACAGGAAACCGAAGAAGUGUCGUCUGCCCCUCCCAGUCAGCAGACGAGAUAAACAAGCCGCCUCUCUGGCCCCGGGCAAUGCAAGUUGUGAAUGGGAGAUUACCCA